rnacentral:rRNA from 1 species
AUGCACCCCAAAACCCCGCUUCUCCUCCUCUUCUUCGCCGCCGGCGAGGCCGCGGGGACCACCCUCACGGCCACCCCGGCGAAGCUCACCCAAUCCGACCAAGAAAUCAAGAUCCGGUGGUCCGACCUCCCGUCCCCGGAUGGCCUCGACCACGUGGCGAUCUACUCCCCGCCGUCCUCCAGCGACCGCGACUUUCUCGGCUACAUCUUCCUCAAUGGCUCCGCCUCCUGGCGCAGCGGCCGCGGAGAGCUCACCCUCCCACGGCUCCCCAACCUGCGGGCGCCCUACCAGUUCCGCCUCUUCCGCUGGCCCGCCAAAGAGUACUCCUACCACCACGUCGACCACGACGGCAACCCGCUCCCCCACGGCCGCCACCGCGUCGCCCUCUCCGGCGAGGUCGCUUUCGCGGGCUCGGCCGCGCGGCCCGAGCAGGUGCACCUCGCGUUCGCCGAUAGGGCCGACGAGAUGCGGGUGAUGUUCGUGUGCGCGGACGCCGGCAAGAGGGCCGUCAGGUACGGGCUUGAGAAGGAGGGGGAGAAGGGUUGGACGGAGGUGGGCACGGAGGUGAGGACGUACGAGCAGAAGCACAUGUGCGACGCGCCGGCGAACGACAGCGUAGGGUGGAGGGAUCCGGGCUUCGUCUUCGAUGGCCUCAUGAAUGGGUUGGAGCCCGGAAGGAGGUACUUUUACAAGGUCGGUAGUGACCCGGGAGGAUGGAGCGAGACAUACAGCUUUAUUUCACGUGACAGUGACGCCAAUGAAACCAUUGCUUUUCUCUUCGGUGAUAUGGGCACUUAUGUACCAUAUAACACCUACAUCCGCACACAAGAUGAGAGCUUGUCAACGGUGAAGUGGAUCCUCCGUGAUAUUGAAGCCCUUGGAGAUAAGCCUGCAUUUAUUUCGCACAUUGGGGACAUCAGUUAUGCCAGAGGCUAUGCUUGGGUGUGGGACCAUUUCUUCAGCCAGAUUGAGCCUGUUGCAGCCAAUACUCCAUACCAUGUCUGCAUAGGAAAUCAUGAGUAUGAUUGGCCUUCACAACCUUGGAAACCUUCGUGGUCUACAUAUGGAAAGGAUGGUGGAGGUGAAUGUGGAAUACCAUACAGUGUCAAGUUCAGGAUGCCUGGGAAUUCUGUUCUACCUACUGGCAAUGGAGCUCCAGACACACGGAAUCUCUAUUACUCUUUUGAUUCAGGUGUCGUGCAUUUUGUGUACAUGUCGACUGAAACUAAUUUCGUUCAGGGCAGCGACCAACACAGUUUCCUAAAAGCUGACCUGGAGAAGGUGAACCGAAGUAGAACCCCAUUUGUUGUUUUUCAGGGCCACCGGCCGAUGUAUACCUCGAGCAACGAAGCCAGGGAUUCUGCCAUGAGACAGCAGAUGAUCCAGCAUCUUGAACCGCUUUUGGUGAUGUACAAUGUGACCCUUGCCCUGUGGGGACAUGUCCAUAGGUAUGAGAGGUUCUGCCCCAUGAAGAAUUCACAGUGUCUGAACACAUCAUCAAGCUUCGUAUACCCUGGUGCCCCUGUUCAUGUUGUGAUCGGGAUGGCCGGACAAGAUUGGCAACCGAUCUGGCAACCAAGGCGUGAUCAUCCAGAUGUUCCCAUCUUUCCACAGCCUGGAAUCUCCAUGUACCGUGGUGGUGAGUUCGGGUACACAAAACUGGUAGCUACCAGGGAGAAGCUAACGCUGAUGUACGUCGGGAACCACGACGGACAAGUCCAUGACAUGGUGGAGAUAUUCUCUGGACAAACAUCUACUGAAGCUAGCGCUACUGAGGCGGUCAAUCAAACAAAGCUCAGCUCGGGAACCAGCGCCAAGCUGAAGAUUUCCCCAUUAUACUUGGAAAUUGGAGGUAGUGUGAUGUUGGCAUUGCUGCUUGGUUUUGCCUUGGGAUUUCUCCUCAGGAAGAAGAGAGAAGCCGCACAAUGGACUCCGGUGAAGAACGAGGAAUCCUAA